rnacentral:tRNA from 1 species
GGGGAUGUAGCUCAGUGGUAGAGCACUUGCCUAGCAAGCGCAAGGCCCUGGGUUCGGUCCCCAGCUCCG